UACGGAGGGGGCUAGCGUUGUUCGGAAUUACUGGGCGUAAAGCGCGCGUAGGCGGACCUGCAAGUCGGGGGUGAAAGCCCGAGGCUCAACCUCGGAACUGCCUUCGAUACUGCGGGUCUCGAGUCCGGGAGAGGUGAGUGGAAUUCCUAGUGUAGAGGUGAAAUGCGUAGAUAUUAGGAAGAACACCAGUGGCGAAGGCGGCUCACUGGCCCGGUACUGACGCUGAGGCGCGAAAGCGUGGGGAGCAAACAGG
rnacentral:rRNA from 1 species